AAAGCCGCUUAGAAAAGCGGGGAUUAAAGUCCCAAACCUGACUUGAAUGAGCCGAGCUAAACAUCCGCGCUUAAAUUGGUUCCAUAACAGUAAAUUGAGGAUCAUGUGAUCUUACUAAUUUGAGUCAGGUUUAAAUAGUCUAGAUAAUUGCGCGUGCACGCCAUUGUUUAAAAGUCCUGAAAAGUCGAGCAUGGGUCAAUCGAUUUACUGUGGGCUACCAUGGCAACAAAAGGAAAAGAUAGAGCAGCGAUGUUCACGGCAACGGAACAGCGUUUGCUAUUGGAAACAUAUGAAGAAUUUAAAGAUGUCAUUACCAAAAAAGGCAAUACAGCGGCAAUAAAUAAAGCAAGAGAGAAAGGUUGGCAGGAAAUUGCUGAUCGUCUCAAUGCCAGCAACUUAAGUGAAGGAAAAAGAACCUGGCAGCAGGUGAAAAUAAAAUAUAAAAAUAUAGUUCAGAAUGCGACCAAAAAGAAGACUGAGGUUGCUGGCACUGGGGGAGGGCCACCACCAGCCAGCUUCACUCCUGCAGAGGA